rnacentral:pre_miRNA from 1 species
GGGGGGGGGCCGGAUCCUGGGAUGUGUCCCGGCGCCCUGUGUUCCCGGGCCUGGGCUGGGGGAUUCAGGUUCCCAACCCAAAGCCCCUU